AAUGAAUGUUGCUCUUUCAGCGCGUGCGCAGCGCCGUUCUUUGUUGUACCGGUCCAAAUUUAUCCCGGAAUAAGGACAGCACGCAUGUGCCAUGAACCCGGAUGUAUCGAGAUUUGGACUAGGAACAAAAGCGUCGGGCUGAAAAAUACAUCAAUACUGUAUGUGAAAAGUAAAGGAAUAAAACAGAUGUGUCGGGUAAAGUACACGCACGCGCGCGGUUUAAAUGAUUGAUUAUACCCGUUAAAAAUAAACCGCUUGUUCAUGCAUUUGCAUUGUUGCACCAACGCCGUACCAUAUCCAUGCAUGAACAUUUUAACAGCAAUCAAUAUCGAAACUUUAUAAAUUAACCUAUUAAUCACCGUAUCCUACAGUUUGUAGCGCUGCAAUGCAUUUGAUUCACGUAUAUGGCAAAAAGUAUGAGCGUGGCAGCAACUGGUCCGAACCGGAGGUGCUCGAACUUCUGCAGAUCUGGUCGGACGUGCCCGUUCAAACCGAGCUGGUGACCUGUCUCAGAAACCAGCAUGUGUUCAACCGAAUCGCAAGCACCCUGCGCCAGAAAGGCAUCAAUCGCACCGGGGAUCAAUGCAGGGAGAAGAUCAAAAAGUUGAAGUUGGAGUACAAGCAGAAGACUUUGAGAUCCGCGAGGUAUUAUGAGCUCAUGGAGAGAGCUCAGAGCAACCGAACUGCCGCAGCAUCUGGCGCUACUUUGCCUUUAUGGGGUGAUACGACCACGAACCAGGUGGUGGGACUCGAGGGCGAUGCUCCCGAGUCAGAGGUACAGGGUCACCCGUCCAGAGCGAGUGAAAUACUGGAGGUCAAGACGGAGGUCAUGAGCUCGGAUGAUGAGGCGACGGGCCCGCCCGAGAUGUUGUAUGAGUUCGGCCCUGUUGAUGAUGACGACGAAGCCAGUGCUAAUCACAAACACUCGGUGCCAAACACAGAGGAACCGACAUUGGAUGGAGAGCAGGGAAACAGCACGCACGUCACGUGUUCCCCAUCAGAUUUCAGUGACCAGAACAUGACUGUCUCCUCUGGUGCGGGUGUAUCCCCGGCAACAGCUCCCAUGCAGAUUAGAGACCAAGGUAACCAUGGCGACCAAGAAGGCCACAGGGGUUCUGCAUCGUUCCUUCAGAGGAAGCGGCGCCGGGUGGCACGAGGGGGUGACGGGGUGUUAACGAGCGCUUUGGCCGGGUAUCUGAGCUGGCAGCAGAUGGCAGAGGAGCGGUUCCUCGCUCUAGAGGAGGCACGGAUGCGACAGGAGGCACGAGCUGAGGAGCGGAGGGAAAAACAGGAGGAGAAACGAGCGCACCAGGAGAGAGACCACGAGUUUCGUCUUAUGUCUAUGUUGACUAGAGUCCUGAACUCAGCACGAGGGGCGGAGACCAGCGCCACCCCUCUCCCUGUGCCCAACUCCUUACAAAACUUGUUACCUUAUCCAUCAUCUGCCAGUGCAAAAGCUCCAGCUGUACCCAUCAUGCCUUGGGGUGAUCAGACACACCAGUACAACCCAUACCUGUCUCGCCGUGGCAAUAGCAUGCGGCUGCAACAGGGAAUCCUGCAGGAAGGAUACACACAGUAUCACGCCAACAAGCAUGAUGAGAGCACAAACCCUGAUGGCAUUAUCAACAUGGGAACCAGUGAAAACAAGCUUUGCUUUGACCUCCUGCAGAAACGGCUAACGCGACCCGAUAUGCUGCACAUUGAGCCUGCUUUUCUGCAAUACCCUGAUUGGAAAGGCCACAGUUUCCUUAGAGAGGAAAUCGCUAAGUUCCUGUCAGACUACUGCCAUUCUCCAAGUCCUCUAAAAGCUGAGAACGUUGUUGUUAUGAAUGGUUGUGGGUCUGUUUUCUCAGCAUUGGCAGCUGUGCUCUGUGACCCAGAAGAUUUCAUUCUGAUCCCGUCCCCCUUCUAUGGUGUAAUAACAGAGGAUGUGGGUUUGUACAGCAGUGUUAAACUACACCAUGUGCCACUGGAUAGUCAGCCCACAGGAAGUGAUGUUAGACCGUUCCAGCUAACUGUUGAAAAACUGGAGAACUCCCUCAAAGAGGCCAAGAAUGAGGGAUUAAACGUCAAAGCGCUUAUUCUAUUAAACCCGCAUAAUCCAUUGGGAGAAGUGUACUCUGCCAAAGAGAUGACCAGCUUUCUAAAAUUAGCCAAAAAGCACGAGCUUCAUGUGAUUGUGGAUGAGAUUUACAUGCUCUCAGUAUUUAAUGAGACGGACAACUUUCGCAGUGUUCUCGGUUUGGAUCAGUUGCCAGAUCCCCAGAGAACCCACGUUAUGUGGGGCACCAGUAAGGAUUUCGCUUUAUCAGGGAUGCGAGUGGGUAUGGUCUACUCGGAAAACAGAGAUUUGGUUCAGGCCUUGGAUCAGCUGGGCAGCUUUCAUGGAGUCCCGGGACCUACGCAGUACCAGAUGGCUGAACUUCUCAGAGAUAGAGAUUGGCUGAAUAACAAGUUCCUCCCGGAGAACAGAUGCCGGCUACGAGAGGCUCACAGCUACAUGACAGGAGAACUGAAGGAAAUGGGAAUUCCUUUUCUGCACAGGGGUGCUGGCUUUUUCAUCUGGGCUGACCUGAGCAAGUAUCUAAAGGAGAAGACAUUUGCUGCGGAGCUGUCUGUAUGGAGGUGUUUUAUCAAACACAAGGUUCUGCUGAGCUGUGGUCAGGCCUUCAACUGUACCUCACCAGGCUGGUUCAGAAUAAUCUUCAGUGAUCAACGGCACAAACUAAAGCUAGGUGUGCAAAGGAUUAGGAAAGCUUUAGAAGACCUUCAGAGCUCCGCCAUACUUGAGUCGCAGGAGACGACAGGAGACGAACAAGAUAACACCAUUGAGUCAGUGAAGAGAGAAGACAUUAAGAAUACAAACAAUACAGUCAAGACCUCAAGUGUUCAAACCAAACAUCAAAAUGACACAGUCUGCAUUAAGACAGAGCCUGUCUCAUUGGCUGAUGAGGACUUUGUAUUUCUUAACGGCCAAUCCGCCAUCAGCUCAGAGAGUCUGGGCUCUCUGAUUGGUACUCCAGAGCAGCAGAUCCACUCAUCUGAUUGGCUGGAGAAGAACAAGCCUGAGCUUGCUCCUGGAGAGGACCCGAAACAAUUGGAUGUUUUUACAGAUCUGCUCAACAGAGCCAGAAAGUAAAGUAACACAAGAGACAAACAGCUACAAAAGUGAUCUCAGCUCUGUGGCAGAAAGCAAGCCACAGGAAGUAACUAUCUGUUGGUGUUUCCUGUGAGCCCACCUUGCUGGGGAGAGGAAAGCUGUUUCUUUCCUGUGCUGUUGCACUGUUACCAUGACGAGACGGCAAUCCUUGUGAUGUAUCACCAUGGUUGCUGUGGUUCAGCAUACAGUACCACCUACUGCUGACACUGAAAACAGUUAAUGGGUGUGUUUGAUAGUCUAAGAAGGUGUUUUCACAAAUAUGUUAUGUACACUACCACUCCAAAUUUUGGACCCACUUGACUGAUCUUUUGAUCUAAAGGCUUAUGCAUGAAUGCAUGAAUAUACUCUCACUGAGCACUUUAUUAGGAACACUAUUGUCCUAAUAAAGUGCCGACUGGGUCUUCUGCUCUUGUAGGCCAUCCACCUCAAGUUUCGACGUGUUGUGCAUUCUGAGAUGCUAUUCUGCUCACUACAAUUGUACAGAGUGGAUAUCUGAGUUACUGUAGCCUUUCUGUUAGCUCGAACAAGUCUGGCCAUUCUCUGUUGAGCUCUCUCAUCAACAAGGCGUUUCCGUCCGCAGAACUGCCACUCACUGGAUGUUUUUCUUUUUAUUGCUUUUGGCGCCAUUCUGAGUCAACUCUUCAGACUGUUGUGCGUGAAAAUCCCUGGAGAUCAGCAGUUACAGAAAUACUCAAACCAGCCCAUCUGGCACCACAAUCAUGCCACGGUCAAAAUCACUGAGAUUAUAUUUUUCCCUCUUCUGAUGGUUGAUGUAAACAUUGACUGAAGCUCCUGACCCACAUCUGCGUGAUAUUAUGCAUUGCACUGCUGCCACACUAUUAGCUGAUUGCAUGAAUAAGUAGGUGUACAGGUGUUCCUAAUAAAUUGUUGAGUGAGUGCAUUUUACAUUUUUGGUCACUACAUUAUUCCCAUACUUUCAUUUGUGUUAGUUCAUUUGUACUUUUGAUGCCUUUGCUAUUUUUGUCAAAUGUUGAAAAUGGUAAUAGUAAAGAACUAAAUAGUAAACUUUGACAAGACAUACACUAUAUUGCCAAAAGUAUUCGCUCAUCUGCCUUUAGACGCAUAUGAACUUAAGUGACAUCCCAUUCUUAAUCCAUAGGGUUUAAUAUGAUGUUGGCCCACCCUUUGCAGCUAUAACAGCUUCAACUCUUCUGGGAAGGCUUUCCACAAGGUUUAGGAGUGUGUUUAUGGGAAUUUUUGACCAUUCUUCCAGAAGCACAUUUGUGAGGUCAGACACUGAUGUUGGACGCGAAGGCCUGGCUCGCAGUCUUCGCUCUAAUUCAUCCCAAAGGUGCUCUAUCGGGUUGAGGUCAGGACUCUGUGCAGGCCAGUCAAGUUCUUCCACACCAAACUCGCUCAUCCAUGUCUUUAUGGACCUUGCUUUGUGCACUGGUGCGCAGUCAUGUUGGAACAGGAAGGGGCCAUCCCCAAACUGUUCCCACAAAGUUGGGAGCAUGGAAUUGUCCAAAAUCUCUUGGUAUGCUGAAGCAUUCAGAGUUCCUUUCACUGGAACUAAGGGGCCAUGCCCAGCUCCUGAAAAACAACCCCACACCAUAAUCCCCCUCCACCAAACUUCACAGUUGGCACAAUGCAGUCAGACAAGUACCGUUCUCCUGGCAACCGCCAAACCCAGACUCGUCCAUCAGAUUGCCAGAUGGAGAAGCGUGAUUCGUCACUCCAGAGAAAGCAUCUCCACUGCUCUGAAGUCCAGUGGCGGUGUGCUUUACACCACUGUAUCCGACGCUUUGCAUUGCACUUGGUGAUGUAUGGCUUGGAUGCAGCUGCUCGGCCAUGGAAACCCAUUCCAUGAAGCUCUCUACACACUGUUCUUGAGCUAAUCUGAAGGCCACAUGAACUUUGGAGGUCUGUAGCGAUUGACUCUGCAGAAAGUUGGCGACCUCUGCGCACUAUGCGCCACAGCAUCCGCUGACCCCGCUCUGUCAUUUUACGUGGCCUACCACUUCGUGGCUGAGUUGCUGUCAUUCCCAAUCGCUUCCACUUUGUUAUAAUACCACUGACAGUUGACUGUGGAAUAUUUAGUAGCGAGGAAAUUUCACGACUGGACUUGUUGCACAGGUGGCAUCUUAUCACAGUACCACGCUGGAAUUCACUGAGCUCCUGAGAGCGGCCCAUUAUUUCACAAAUGUUUGUAGAAGCAGUCUGCAUGCCUAGGUGCUUCAUUUUAUACACCUGUGGCCAUGGAAGUGAUUGGAACACCUGAAUUCAAUUAUUUGGAUGGGUGAGCGAAUACUUUUGGCAAUAUAGUGUAUUUUAUAUUAGCUUAAAGCCUUUUCUGAAAUUUUAACUAGUUUUAAAAGUUUUAAAUUUGAUGAUUAACAGCCAGACAGCUAGCUAGCUACAUAGUCAGACUGUCACAUAUAGUCAGAUAAACUGAUGUAGAUAGAUAAAACAAGAGAACAACUUAAAGCAGAUUAAAUGCCUUUUAUGGGGUUUUUAACAUUUACAUUUUUGACGGUUUGAGUUUGAAUUAAGGAGCAUUCGAUUUUGCCGAUUUAAACAUUCAGUCAAUGUAAGUCUAUGGGCAUUUUCCUAUUUUUGAUCGUCCGCUGUGCAAAAAACUUAAAUCCGAUCAGUUAGAAAAGACAUAGCAUACUAUUCGUGAACAGUCUGAAGGUCUGUGCCGAGUUUGGUGGAUGUAGCUUAAAAGCUCUGAGGUAUUUGUGUUUGACAUUUUGGUCUCAGUUUAGGGAUUUUGAAAAACCCCUAAACAAAGUUUGUAGAAUAACAGUAUGUUGGCUUCGUCGAACCAACAUAAUGAGUAGGUGUGUCCAAACUUUUGACUUGUAGUGUACAUUCAUGUCAAUUCUGGACUUUUUUAGUCUGGACUUCUGUUUUCAGAAAUACAGGCUAUGCAUGUUCAAAUAGAGAACAGUAAACUGAUUUGUAAAAUAUCAUUUUCACUUUCCAAACCACAGCGACUCGCACUCAAAGGGGUUUCUGGGGGAAUUUAACUUCUCUCUGUUUGUAUGUGUCUACAGUAUGUGUGUUUAUGCAUGACUGAGUGGGAGUUUCCAUUGCGAGUGGGUCUCCACUGUGGGCAGAGGGACAUCUUAAUUGUGUCAUACUGCAGCGCUGUGAAGGGGAAGUGAGAGAGAAGUGUGUCUGUACAGUUUCAUUCUAACCCCUCUGUUUCUCUGCCUCUGAUUCAUUUGAUAUUUGAGCGUGACAGGGAGCUGCUGAUUCUAUCAAUCGCAUUGUACUGUGGGGAAACAAUUGGGAAUCAUCAAAUAUCUGUAAACAAACACAUUUUCAAGACACUUCUUAUUAUAGGAAGCCUUUCAAGAACAAUGAAAGGACCAGAACUGGUUGACUCAAGGAGUCGUUUUCGAUUUAUUGAAUCAUGCAUUGGCUUGAUGGGUUGUUUGUUUAUUAGCUAUGCCAUCUGGGCACCUCGGUGGUUGAAUGACAGGGGUCUGUGGUCCUCUGGGAAUCAGACCAGCAUGGAUGACAGCUGGACGGCCGGAGACAUCACUAAAGCUCUUGAGGCUGAGAGAGUGUUUGCAUUGGUCGCCUUCCUCAUGUCUGUGAGCUCUGGAGUGCUGUGCCUCAUGUUCGCCCUCUGCUGGACAUCUGAAACAGUGCGGUCCUACUCUAACACUCGUUCACUGUUGAUGGCAGGCCAGGCCCUCGACCCCACCACCCUGCUACUCUUCACACUAGUGCCAACAGGAUUCUUCUUCUUUCUCAGCUGGGCUCUUUUCACCCACCAACAUAUUGGCGAGAUCCGCGAUGACAUCACUCGAUUAGGCUCGUCCUAUUGGCUGGGAGUUGUGGGCUGGGCUUUGCUAUUGGCUGUACUGCCUGUGGUCUUCCUGGCGGAGAAGUUUGUGGUGCCAGACAUCCUCCCGGACCUAAUAAAGUCUGCCAAUAUGUGGUGGAAGGCCCCUGAGGUUGCGUACGCGAGAUCGUUUAGUGAGGGUUGCCAUCGCUCAGAGCACAAGUCUCAUCCUGGCUUAAGGAGGUAUAUGUCAGUGCCCUGAAGCAGAGAAAAGGGAUAGCAAGGAAAAGCACGAGAAGAUAUAACUGGUCUCUCUCUGGUCUCUCCAAAGCUGGUACCUCCCAGCCAAAUGUAGCAUUGUGCCUUGCCCAAAAAGACUUCUGAAAUGACACUGAGAGUGCUGAGUGUCAACAGUAAUGCUACAGAGAUGUUCCAGUUGCAGAUGAACUCUGAAAAACUCUUUAUUUGUACCUUUUCUUAGUCGUUAUCUGCAGCUCUGAUCAUUCUAUGUAUCUUAAGUCUUACGGACAACCCUGAUUCAAAUAAUCACAAUGCACUUUGUACUGCUUAUCAAUUCAUGUAUGUGGGACGUGUCACUCCGAGGUGCUAGUACAGAAUUAGAACACUAUACUUGUUAAGAAUAUUGGUUACUUUGUUGUGUUUUUGCAGUCUCUUUUUGAACGGUGCUACAGAUGUUUUUCUCUAAUUUGUCUGUGUUUUUUCUGCAUACACAUCCCUCUACUGGUAAUUUUACAAACUAGAGCAACCUGUAGUAAUUUUUUUUAUAAACCUGCAGCAAAACUGUAAAAUAAGCUUAACACUGUGCACUGGCAAGGGAACGUUUUUUUAAAUUAUAAUUAUUAUUGGUUUUUAUUGUUGUUGUUUUGUUUUUUUACUGUUUUCAAUAAAUGGAAAGAUUGUUUUA